AGUGCACGACGACGGGCCCGGCGAGGGGCAGCCCCUCCUGCCGCUUGUUGACCUCCUCGAGGAAGCCGAGCACCCCCCCGGGCUCCCCCGGCACGCCGUGGUCCGGCCACGCCAGAGCUGCUGCUGGCGGGCACACCACGACAGCGGGAGGUCUCGGCUGUGAUGGCACAGCGAGCUCUAAAGGAACGCCUGCUGAUGUGCGGAGGAACGUGACAACAACAAGCCCUGCACGUAGCGGGCAGGAGACCUUACCGCGUCGGCGCGAUACAGGUUCUGAUUGAGAACCCAUACAAAACCUCUGAAACCUGGAUUCCAACCCAGGACUCUGGGCUGCCGGGCCACCUCCAAGGCUCGUGAAAACUUACGAGGGGGUGGGCGGCGGUAAGGGGGGGGGGUGCCUCACCUUGCCU